AGAGGUCUCAAGAUAUGCCAGUCAAGUGAGAUGCAGCAAUUCCACUGUGUUUCAGUUGUGUGUUGAAUGUUGCACAGUGCACCACUGUCCUGUCUGGAAUCACUUCAUCUGCAUUCUGGAAUCUGAAGGUUAUCUGUUAAUUAUGUGAAAUUAUGGCAUAUGCAGAGUCAAAUUACAGAUUAGAGAAUUACAUCCGGCUCAUCCUGGCUAUCAUCAUCCUAUUAGGUCUUGGGGUUCUAUUGUUGGAUGCUUGGAGCAGCAGAGAAAGCCCAUGAGGUCUUCAGAGAGUCCUAACCUGAAAGCCUAGUUACCCCUUCCUACACCUCAUCAAAAUGCUGGCAAUAAAGAGUCUAAGAGGA